CUCAGCUGUCCUCAUGUGUUUCACCUGUCCAAUGAUCCCUGCUGCCUCACUUGUCCCCUUCUUCUGUGUCAGUUCAGGAUCUGUUGGGAUUACUGUGGAGACUGACAGGAUCCCUGGGUAGAGAGCAAAGGGGACGACAUGAGCUAAAGGUCACUAGACAUGGCACAGCAUGAUAGACCAUGACCCUGUGGGAUGCAGGGACACCCAAGAACUAGAAUUCUUUCUACUGUUGCAGGGGGAGACAGUCAAGUGGUUUUAUCUACAGUAUGACUAACAACCAGCACUCGCUAUACCUGUCUGUCUGCGUCACAGUGGGAUUGAUGGACAUCCAUGACCAAUCGUGUUCCU